CUGCUAUGAGGUGCCCUCUCUUCUUCUUGUUUCUCUGCUAUGAGGUGACCUCUCUUCUUCUUGUUUCUCUGCUAUGAGGUGAUCUCUCUUCUUCUUGUUUCUCUGCUAUGAGGUGACCUCUCUUCUUCUUGUUUCUCUGCUAUGAGGUGACCUCUCUUCUUCUUGUUUCUCUGCUAUGAGGUGAUCUCUCUUCU